rnacentral:rRNA from 1 species
AUUGAACGCUGGCGGCAGGCCUAACACAUGCAAGUCGAGCGGAUGACGGGAGCUUGCUCCUUGAUUCAGCGGCGGACGGGUGAGUAAUGCCUAGGAAUCUGCCUGGUAGUGGGGGGCAACGUUUCGAAAGGAACGCAAUACCGCAUACGUCCUACGGGAGAAAGCAGGGGACCUUCGGGCCUUGCGCUAUCAGAUGAGCCUAGGUCGGAUUAGCUAGUUGGUGAGGUAAUGGCUCACCAAGGCGACGAUCCGUAACUGGUCUGAGAGGAUGAUCAGUCACACUGGAACUGAGACACGGUCCAGACUCCUACGGGAGGCAGCAGUGGGGAAUAUUGGACAAUGGGCGAAAGCCUGAUCCAGCCAUGCCGCGUGUGUGAAGAAGGUCUUCGGAUUGAAAAGCACUUUAAGUAGGGAGGAAGGGCAGUAAGUUAAUACCUUGCUGUUUUGACGUUACCGACAGAAUAAGCACCGGCUAACUCUGUGCCAGCCGCCGCCGUAAUAC